AUUGAACGCUGGCGGCAUGCUUUACACAUGCAAGUCGGACGAGUGGCGAACGGGUGAGUAAUAUAUCGGAACGUACCGAGUAAUGGGGGAUAACUAAUCGAAAGCUUAGCUAAUACCGCAUAUUAUUCGAGCGGUCGAUAUCUGAUUAGCUAGUUGGUGGGGUAAAGGCCUACCAAGGCGACGAUCAUUAGCGGGUCUGAGAGGAUGAUGCGCCACACUGGGAAUUAGACACGGCCCAGACGCCGACGUGAGGCAGCAGUGGGGAAUUUUGGACAAUGGGCGCAAGCCUGAUCCAGCCAUGCCGCGUGUCUGAAGAAGGCCUUCGGGUUUUAAAGCACUUUUGUCAGGGAAGCGGUACCUGAAGAAUAAGCACCGGCUAACUGCGUGCUAGCAGCCGCGGUAAUAC
rnacentral:rRNA from 1 species